GUCUACAGCCAUACCACCCUGAACACAUGCGAUCUCCUCUGAUCUUGGAAGUUAAGCAGGGUUGGGCCUGAUUAGUACUUGGAAUGGAGAAUCUGACCUUAACU
ensembl:rRNA 5S_rRNA 5S ribosomal RNA